AAAAAGACAAACCCUAGUUUCCGUGUCCAAUGUUUGACCGUCCGUCUUAUUUGAAAAAAAUAUAAAAAAAUUAAAAAGACAAAUCACGCAUAAAAUAUUAAUCAUGUUUUAUCAUCUAACAACAAUGAAAAUACGAAUUAUAAAAAAAUUUCAUAUAAGACGGACGGUCAAAGUUGGACACGAAAAUUCAGGGUUUGUCUUUUU
rnacentral:pre_miRNA from 1 species